rnacentral:misc_RNA from 1 species
CCGAGUUUACCAACUCCCAAACCCCGUGUGAACCUACCGUCUCCGUUGCUUCGGCGGUGUCGCCCCGGGCGCGGGCCUUCCGAAGGCCGCCAGCCCCGGACCCAGGCGCCCGCCGGAGGACCCCAAACUCCACUGUAUUACCCAUCGUCUUCUGAGUUUCUUCGCUCUCCGAGCGGACGAGAAAUAAAAUCA